GGCGGAGUAGCUCAGCCUGAUAGAGCAGACGGCUCAUACCCGUUAGGUCGCCGGUUUGAAUCCGGCCUCCGCCACCA
rnacentral:tRNA from 1 species